AUUUAAUUUCGUGUUAUAUCAUAUGUGGAAUAUUGCUUCAUCUUCUUCUCUCAACUCUAUGCUUCUCUCUCCAUCCUCAUCUUCACAUUACAACAGUAUCCAACCACAUCAUAAAAAGGAUUGGUGGCGGCUGCUAUUUUGUUUUAAAACUAACCAUUUUGAGAUCGUCGGUCGCUCCGCGUCGUCUCGGGCACGUGGCGACACAUGUUUUGCAAAUCUCUACAGAAAUCAGUAAGUUCAAAUACAUUUCUCAAAACAUGGUUUAAGAUAUCACUAGUAAAACAUUCUUAUAAAUUAUUUUAAAAGUUUAUUUUGUCACUCACAAAUUGGUUGCUCAGAAAUCCUCACAAAGUGCUUCGAACAUCAUGGAGAAAGAGAGUAUCUCGAUGAGAUCUUUUGAACAUCGGGGAAUAGUCUUUACCCAUCAAGUAUCUGAGCUAAAAGUCCAAAGACAGAGGUGAAAGAGAAAAGGAAACAGAUACAACUUUCAAAGGAUUGUUAAUUGGAGAACAUUUCUAGUUGACAGUUUGCCAAAUGAUAUUUAGUUUUCUCUCCUUGGAAGCCCCAUGCCUACCUGAAAGAGUAGGCCAUAUUGAGUCAAAUGUUCUUCCAAUAACUUUGAGGAAGAAGUUUUAUUUCUUAAAUUUAUUCUGAAUCAGAAAACAAGAAAUGGGUACUGAAGAGACCAAGGGAAUUGUCUUUUAUUUUUGUUUUUAUUUUUUUUGGGAGG